rnacentral:rRNA from 1 species
AGGAGUUUGAUCCUGGCUCAGAAUCAACGCUGGCGGCGUGCCUAACACAUGCAAGUCGAACGCGAAAGUGGAGCAAUCCAUGAGUAGAGUGGCGAACGGGUGAGUAACGCGUGGGUGACCUACCUCAGAGUGGGGGAUAACGUUUCGAAAGGAACGCUAAUACCGCAUAACAUCCUGCCUUUGGACAGGCGGUGAUCAAAGCCGGGGACCGCAAGGCCUGGCGCUUGGAGAGGGGCCCGCGUCCGAUUAGCUAGUUGGUAGGGUAAUGGCCUACCAAGGCGACGAUCGGUAGCCGGCCUGAGAGGGCGGACGGCACACUGGGACUGAGACACGGCCCAGACUCCUACGGGAGGCAGCAGUGGGGAAUUGUUCGCAAUGGGCGCAAGCCUGACGACGCAACGCCGCGUGGAGGACGAAGAUCUUCGGGUCGUAAACUCCUGUCGAGCGGGACGAAACCCUCGAGUGUAAAUAGCACUUGAGGCUGACGGUACCGCGAGAGGAAGCCCCGGCUAACUCCGUGCCAGCAGCCGCGGUAAUACGGGGGGGGCAAGCGUUGUUCGGAAUUACUGGGCGUAAAGGGCUCGUAGGUGGCCCCAUAAGUCAGACGUGAAAUCCCUCGGCUCAACCGAGGAACUGCGUCUGAGACUGCGGGGCUUGAAUCCGGGAGAGGGAUGCGGAAUUCCAGGUGUAGCGGUGAAAUGCGUAGAUUCUGGAGGAACACCGGUGGCGAAAGGCGGAUCCUGGACCGGUAUUGACACUGAGGAGCGAAAGCCAGGGGAGCAAACGGG